rnacentral:lncRNA from 12 species
CACAGAAAUCAACACAGAAAUCAGCCAAAAUCGGCCAAAAUCGGCACAAAAAUCAACCAAAAUCUGCACAGAAAUCAGCGGAGAAAUCGGCCAAAAUCAGCACAGAAAUCAGCCAAAAUCAGCCAAAAUCAGCCAAAAUCAGCACAGAAAUCAGCGGAGAAAUCAGCACAGAAAUCAGCCAAAAUCAGCCAAAAUCAGCCAAAAUCAUCACAGAAUUCAGCACAGAAAUCAGCAUAGAAAUCAGCCAAAAUCAGCACAAAAAUCAGCCAAAAAUCAGCACAGAAAUAAACCAAAAUCAGAACAAAAAUCAGCACAAAAAUAAUCCAAAACCAGCCCAAAUAUCAGCCAAAAAUCACCCAAAAUCGGCCCAAAAAUCAGCACAGAAAUCAGCCAAAAGCCGGACAAAACCAGCCAAAAAUCAGCACAGAAAUCAGCACAGAAAUAACCCAAAACCAGCCCAAAUAUCAGCCAAAAUCAGAACAAAAACCAGCCAAAAUCAGCCAAAAUCAGCACAAAAAUCAGCACAAAACCCACCCCAAAACCACCCCAAAUAUCAGCCAAAAAUCACCCAAAAUCAACACAAAUAUCGGCCAAAAUCAGCUCAGAAAUAACCCAAAAUCAGCACAAAAAUGACCCAAAAAUCAACACAAAAAUCAGAACAAAAAUAACCCAAAAACCAGCACAAAAAUCACAUAAAAACCACCCUAAAAUCAGCCAAAAAUCAGCACAAAAAUCACUAAAAAUCACCCCAAAAAUAGUCAAAAUUUUGGGGAAAAAUUGUAAAAAAAUCACCUAAAAAUAUCCCAAAAAUACCCAAAAGUCUGAGCCAAAACUGGCAAAAACUGCCCCAAAAAUUGCCAAAUUUUAAAUAAAAACUAAAAAAAAUGAGCCCAAAAAUGGCCCCAAAAAUCAGCCCAAAACCAGCCAAAAUUGGGAGAAAAAAUAGAAACUUCUCCCAAAUUUCUUCCAAAAUUCCCCAAAAUUUCCCCCUGAAAUUACCAAAA